rnacentral:rRNA from 1 species
GACGUAGGCGCGAGCGUUGUCCGGAUUUAUUGGGCGUAAGAGCUUGUAGGCGGUUGUCGCGUCUGCUGUGAAAUCGGGCUCAACCCGGACUUGCAGUGGGUACGGGCAGACUAGAGUGUGGUAGGGGAGACUGGAAGUUCCUGGUGUAGCGGUGGAAUGCGCAGAGUAUCAGGAGGAACACCGAUGGCGAAGGCAGGUCUCUGGGCCACUACUGACGCUGAGAAGCGAAAGCAUGGGGAGCGAACAGG